rnacentral:rRNA from 1 species
CCUUACACCGAGAAGUCCUCCGUGCAAAUCGGAUAACUCUGACGCCCACUAGCUAGCUCACCCAACAUCAUAACACUCACAUAUUAAUAUACAAAUUCUAAUAUAUAGACAAACAAACCAUUUUUCCACUUUAGUAUAGGUGAUAGAAAAAGACAUCUGACGCAAUAGAGAAAGUACCGCAAGGGAACGCUGAAAGAGAAAUGAAACAACUCAGUAAAGCACAACAAAGCAGAGCUCAUCCCUCGUACCUUUUGCAUCAUGUUUUAGCUAGAGUAACUCAAGCAAAAAGCAUUGUAGUUUGACAACCCGAAACUAAGGGAGCUACUCCAAGACAGCCUAGUAAAUAGGGCCAACCCGUCUCUGUGGCAAUAGAGUGGGAAGAGCUUUGGGUAGAGGUGACAGACCUAUCGAACUUAGUUAUAGCUGGUUACCUGAAAAUUGGAUAGAAGUUCAGCCUCUUGAAUUCUCCUCUCACCUUGACACUUUUCUAAGCGAGACACCAAGAAAUCAAGAGAGUUAGUCAAAGGAGGUCCAGCUCCUUUGAAAGAAGAAACAACUUUUAUGGGUGGAUUAAGAUCAAAUUCAUAAAGGUAGGUCAUUGAGGUGGGCUAAACCGCAGCCAUCCUAAAAAAAAGCGUUAAAGCUUGAACAUUGUACUUAAACCUCUAAUCCCGAUUUUCAUCUCCUACUCCCCCUCUUCCUAUCAGGUUAUUCCAUAAUAUAUGGAAGAAAUUAUGCUAAUAUGAGUAAUAAGAGAGCCUGACUCUCUCCACGCUCAAGUGUAAGCCGGAACGGACCUCCCGCCUUUUCUUACCGACCCCAUAAUUGAGGGUAGAAAGCCAAAAACAAAGAACUAGAAAACCGCCUAUAAAUCCCCGUUAACCCUACACUGGUGCGCCCCUGUGGAAAGACUAAAAGAAAAAGAAGGAACUCGGCAAACAUAAUCGGCCUCGCCUGUUUACCAAGAACAUCGCCUCUUGUACCCCUAAAAAUAAGAGGUCCCGCCUGCCCUGUGACUAUACGUUUAACGGCCGCGGUAUCUUGACCGUGCGAAGGUAGCGCAAUCACUUA